UAUCUCAUUCUCAUUCACUCUUUCACUAAAAAUGACUGCUAUCUCAUUCUCAUUGACUCUUUCACCAAAAAAGACUGGUAUCUUGUUCUCAUUCACUCUUUCACCAAAAUGACUGCUAUCUCAUUCUCAUUCACUCUUUCACCAAUGCCUUCAUGCUUUUGAUCACUUAUAAUACAUUGAUCCUUCAAGGAAUGGAACUGAUUUUGAGUUUAAAUACCCAUUUUCUAUUACUUAGAAAGGUAGGAGAAGAUGCAGCACUACACUUGUAAUAAAUAUAUGUGUGAGGGAGGCUUGGGUGAAUUGAAAGCAGAUUUUGGAUUUAUGUACAUAUGGAACAUACGGAUGUACUUGUAUGGCAGAUAAAACUGUAGGUCACAGAGACCCAAUUACAGAGUGUGCGGAUCCUAUGGACUGUGUCCUUGUCUCUUUAGAGGAAGUACAUUUAAGAACAUUAACUCAAGGCCUGCCUAUUGAACUAGAGAGUUGACAUUACUUCAGAUACUUCAGAUGUAUUCAUAUCCACUCAGAAUUACUUUCCACCCUCAGGAGGAGAGCCCACAACCUGAAUGGCUAUGAGUGCUGCAGUGGCUGCUGAGCAUGAGGCGAGCGAGAGCAGCAGUGUAGAUCACAGCCCAAGACCAUUGAUGUAGCGGAGUUAUUAAUUUUCUCUUGUGAAAUGAGAGGACAGGAGGGAUAAACUAGGGGGAGAUGGGUGCUUUUGACAUAAUACCAGCCAAUCACUGGCAGUAAAGUAAGUGAAGGGCUGUCACAUGAGUACUAGAGCUAACCAAGGACUUAAACCUCAAAAGAUAUACGGGAGAGAGGGAUAUGGGAAGCGAAGGAGGAAAAAAGAGAGGUAGAGAGAGAGAGAGAGCAUAGGCAAAUUGGUGUUUUUCUGGUAUUAAAUGGUAAACAACUCUGUUUUUAGUUGUUUUUAUACUGCAGGACUGGCGUUCUUGUGGAUUGUGGUGGGAUUCGGUGUUUCAGUGUCGGCCUUUUGUUCUCCUCAAGCACUUGGGCUCCCUGAACGGCUGAGGCCAUCGUUGGAGCAAGCAAGGAAAAAAUAAUACCAGAGAUGUCUAAAAGCAGAGGCUAAAAGCGGCCUGAGCUAGCGGCCUGCUAAAAAAACAAAGCACUGCCCAGGGGAAGAGCGAAGGGUCGGGCAGCGUGGUCCGGACUUGCCACAGCCGCGUCUCUCUGCGUCCCCUCACUCCCUUUCUCACCUAUAUGUAGACGAAGGCUCACAGCAGGGCAGUAUAGCCGAUCUGACCACAGGUAAACAUGGCCACACCACAAACGUGCUCACCUAGCACCAUAAUGGACAAAAAUACCGCACUGCAAUGAAUGCAGGCUCACAUAUCAUCAAGGGGAAUGCUUGAAGAAAAAGUUCUUAAAAGCAGCACACUGACUGGAGUUAGUUAUAUCAUUCAGAAGCCACAGUCUGAUUUAUUGCUGAUAGCUUUUCUGUCAUCACGAUUUGUGUGUGUACUGUAUUUGUACCUUAACUUACAGAUAUGUGUUGUGUUUAAAUUAGUCCAAAGCUCUUUCAGUUUGUGUAGACUGCAGAGGUGAGAAAAGAAGGCCUGGUUGAGCGCAGCUACAGGUCAAGGAGCUGCGCCAUGGCGAUUAUACCGAACAGGAUGUUUACAGUUCUGCCAUAAGCCCCAUACUGUCCCUAUUUAAGUUGUGCAGCGUGGGGGCAGACGGAGUCUGGGGUUAACUCUGAGGUUAGGAAGCAGGACACAGAAGACUUAGCUCGUUCUUCUUCACCUAAGGACAAGUCGACCAUAGCAAACAACCUGAAAACAAGACUCCUUUUUUCCGCAUUUCAGAUGGAGGAAAAUUAUUCUCCAUAAAUACCUCACAGUGGACUUUGAUGGUGAAUGUCCUAUUUCAUCAUCUGUGUGCAAAACCAUAGCUCAAUAGGCCACCCUAAAUAUGUAGCUAGGUGUUUGUGUUAAGGUCUGUAGAAUGAGGAUAAGUUUAUCAUUCGCAUAGUAAAGGUGAUUCAGAGAAACCCCAAGGAAAAAGGAACUCAGAAAAAUAAGCUAACUAAGCGA
ensembl:lncRNA